UCGAACGCUGCAGCAAUGCAGAGUGGCAGACGGGUGAGUAACGCGUGGGAACCUUCCCAGUGGUACGGAAUAGCCCAGGGAAACUUGGGGUAAUACCGUAUACGCCCCUAGGGGGAAAGAUUUAUCGCCAUUGGAUGGGCCCGCGUCGGAUUAGCUAGUUGGUGAGGUAACGGCUCACCAAGGCGACGAUCCGUAGCUGGUCUGAGAGGAUGAUCAGCCACACUGGGACUGAGACACGGCCCAGACUCCUACGGGAGGCAGCAGUGGGGAAUAUUGGACAAUGGGCGCAAGCCUGAUCCAGCCAUGCCGCGUGAGUGACGAAGGCCUUAGGGUUGUAAAGCUCUUUUGGCGGGGACGAUAAUGACGGUAUCUCGCAGAAUAAGCCUCCGCGCCAACUUCGUGCCAGCAU
rnacentral:rRNA from 1 species